rnacentral:rRNA from 1 species
CGGGACGGGUGAGUAAUGUCUGGGAAACUGCCUGAUGAGGGGGAUAACUACUGGAAACGGUAGCUAAUACCGCAUAACGUCGCAAGACCAAAGAGGGGGACCUUCGGGCCUCUUGCCAUCGGAUGUGCCCAGAUGGGAUUAGCUAGUAGGUGGGGUAACGGCUCACCUAGGCGACGAUCCCUAGCUGGUCUGAGAGGAUGCCAGCCACACUGGAACUGAGACACGGUCCAG